CUGAGCCGCACCGCCUCCUCCUCGUCCUCCAGGAAGGCGAGCGCCCGGCCCAGGCGGGAGGUCUUGCCGCCGCGGUGCCUGCGGAUCCAGAAGAGCCCGCACAGGGCGAUGAGGACCCAGCUGAAGCUCAGCCCCAGGCCUGCCCUAGGGAGCACGGGUUCGCCCCGCACGACGGCAUCCGGGCCAGGAGGAGAUCGUGGCCGCCGAGCUCUCCUCACUGUCGCCGGGACCCCCGUCGCCUCGGAACCCCGGCCCAGCUUCGCCUGGGGGCAGCCAGCCCAACCGCCCGCAACGGCCAUCGGCCACCGCUGCUUGGCCUCGCAGGAGCAAGGAGGCAGCGUGCCGCGGGAAGAGGGUGGUAACAAGGAAACGGGCUGCUGCCAAGGCGUUAGGGACCGCCACCCUGCUGGCGUGUGCUUCCUCACGGGCAAACCACAUCAUCUCCCCACUCUCUGCACUCACCUGUGCGCCUGAGUGCUUUCUACCUGUGACAUCCUUCAGUAACAAGCUUCGUAUUUGUCUUUGUUCUCUACUGAGGGAUAUUUUUAAAGGACCAACCCAUCAGUGGCUCAGAGGACCCAGAGGCAGGUCACUCCACUCCUUGGUUACAACAGGUGUUCCUAAGGCUUUGCUCACGCAUCCUCAAGCAAAGGUGACUCUCUGUCAUCUCGUUAAUAUAGAGGAUACCUCGGGUGGCACCCAGAUCCAGGCUCUUGGGGAUUACACAACCCUGAUCUGUGGAACAGGCUUGUGCCCUGUAUCCCUUUAUCAUGGUAACACCUGGUUCCCACAUCAUUCCUCCUACCAUUCCUUUAUCUUUUCAAUAAUUGUUAUGUAACCACCAGUUUUGAAAGAGGCAGCUGUUGCCUGUUGUUAGCUGUGUGCUAAUCAGUUUGCUGGUACGCACUUGCUGAUUAAACUCAGCAUUUACCAGGAGGUUUUUUUCUUUUUGGCUUUAAAUAGCCAACCUUUCACUUAGUGGGAACAAGGGUCCUUUCUCCUCUCUUCAGCUGCCAAUCUUCACAAAAUUUUUAGGACACUGAGGCUAGUAUUUGCAGGCAGGGAAGAGGGGAGAACAAAUUUAGCCAAUAGACUGAGAAGUUACAAAAACACGUACAAACAGACAAAUAGGAAAGCUGAAUAAACUUCAUUUUCUCAAGAAACCAGUUUCUGGCCAUAGACUCAUGUUGCUCUUCACCACUGACAGUGUGUUCUCCACCUGUAUUAUCAGGUUAGUCAGGAUGAAAAUUCAGAAUGACCAAAUGAUAUAAAAAAGGAGUAGCAAAAUCAAUGAUUUACAACUAUAUGGUAAUCCAAGCUUUGAAACGACAAUUUACUUACUUUGGAUCUUUACCUCUAGAGAACUCAGAACACCUACAGGCUGUAACAGCAAGGGGACUGCAGAGCAGCGUAAGACCCUAUAAAAGCUUGUGACCUUAAACUGGGGGUAUCGAGAAUGACUCUGUGACCCCUUUGGAUACCAGUAAUGUCAAACUACAGUAAAUGUGGGUGGGUUUUUGCAUUUAUUGUAUUCCUCUUCUAAUUACUUAGUUUGCUUAUAUAGACUUUCCUGUAAACUCCUCACUCCUGAAUUUCAGUUAACACCUAGUACACAUGCCCAUAUUGUAUGUUGGCUCCCUCCAUUACAACCAAUAUGAAUAUUUUCUCAUUUUUUCAAGCCCUUUGUUCUCAGUCUUGGACUCCAUUGCUCCAUUUUCCUUCCCUAGCUGGCUUCACAGUAUCUGAUGCAGAAUGCAACUAUACCACAAACCAAAAUGAAAAUUAAAAAUGAGAAAAAAGAAGUGAUUGAAUUAAAUGACAUUUGCCAACUAGCACUUUACCAUAUGCUGCGUCUUACUCUGCUCUAUGUCUCGGUGUGUAUUCUGCAAGUGCGCUGGAUAUAGAAUUUGUAGAGGAGUACCCUGUAUUAAUACUGACUGUAUUAAAUGUAAAAAAAUAAUCUCAUAGUAGCAUUUAGGAUGACAAACACAUAAUUGUAGGCCUGACAGUCUAGCAUUGAUCCUGGGUGGAGUAAUUAAUUAGUUGCCAUGGAAGUUUGAUUGAUCAGAACUAAAGGUGGAUGAUACUGCACCAAUCAAAUAGACAAACAGAAACAAGAUAUUCUAGCAUUAAUUUGAUAGCAUUUAUCUGUAACAUUAAUAGAAAGCUCUGAUAAAGAGGUUACCACUGACUUCUUAGAACUUCUGUAGAUAACUGCCUUGGUCCCGCGCAGUAUUUUGCUGAAGAAACCGGGUGGUAUGAAAUUAGCAUGCCACUGUUACAAUAGGACAAAAGAGUCUUGUUAAAAUCAAGAUAUAAACUCAGCUGCUAGGGGAUAAACUAGAGUCAGUUACUAUUAUAAAGUUUUUGAUAAAAUGUUCUGCAUAAACACAAGUUCUUUAUUCUAAUCUUUUUGGUGCUGAUAAAUCAUUUAAUAAUUUUCCCCAGAGUCUUGGAAUUGUUAAUUCACGUAUUUCCUGAUCCUAUUUUUUAACACUUAUGAAAGCAGUCUUCAAUGUAUGAGGAAUUCUUGAAGAUAGUCACGUAUAGCACAGAGAUUACACUGGCUUUUCAUCAAGUAUCCUAUAGUGAAUUCUAUCAACUACAGACAUGAUUAUCUUUAUCUUAUUUAGACAAUACUUAUUCUUUUCAUAUCCUGCUUUGGAAGUCUGUUGCAUUCUUAGAAUUUUAAUACUUUUUGCUUGCAGUAUUCCUUUAUACCCAUUCUUAGCCGUAUGUGUUUGUUCCUCCUUUUACUGGAUUACUUUUUUGCUUUUUCAAACUCAAUAGCUUGCAUCAGAGUCGAAGUGGUGUCAUCCUAUGUUUAUCUUUACCUCGCAUCGCAUCAGUUUGCCAUGAUGCUUUCUUUCCACUACAUACAAAACUAUUCUUCAGAAUAACUUCCCAAAACAUCUUUUUUAUACAUCUGGGUUCUUGAGGAUGAGAAAAAUUGGCAAAAUGAAGUUUAUAUGGUGAAAAAGAAAAUCUAAAUUUCCCCGACUUCUUUGGAUUUCACACAAGAAAAAAUGUUUUAGAAGCAAUUUUAAUUGUUGUUUCUUGACCAUUUUCAGUAGCAGUUAAUCUUCCUGAAGAACAAUUUGAUAUUAUACCUUAUUUUACCCAACAGCAUUCCUUCAGUCUGAUAUUUCUUUCUACAGGUUUUUAACUAUUGAAUAGAAAUCUUUAUUGAAUAGAAAUCUGAGAAUGCUUACUCAGGAGGUUUUUCCUAAACAUUUUGGAAUAAUUAAUGGAAACAGUUUACAUGAAGUUUCAUCCUAGUAAAUUCUUAUGAUGGAAUACUCACUACUUCUGUGUUUGAUUUUAUCCAGCUGUCUCAACCUGCUUCAGACGAUCUACUAUAUAGCACAAAUAUUUUCUGCCUGCGUCUAACUAUCUGAUAUAUAGCACAAAGAAGAGUCAGAAGAUUCUACUAUACCUGUUCAGUGCAGAGAGUUUCUGUUGUUUGGAACAAAACCAAAUGUGUCUGAUCCCUGCUAUCACCCAAUCUGGCUUCAGUUUCACUGAAUGCAUAAAUGGUACUCUCAUGAUAAGAUCCUCAAAUAUUUAUUGUUCCUGAAGACAUAAAUACUCUUCACUAAAAUGUGUUUCUUAGUAAGUUUUCACAAUAAUCAUCAUCUCCUUUUUUUUCCCUCAUGGGAUUCUUACAAGUUAUAGUUGAAAACUAAAGGCACAAAGUUUACUUGAGAGAUCCACGUUUUUGCUGUUGCCAUUUAUGAACCCAGAGGACUGACUACC